rnacentral:lncRNA from 1 species
AUGAGAGACACAGAGAGAGAGAGAGAGAGGCAGAGACACAGGCAGAGGGAGAAGCAGGCUCCAUGCAGGGAGCCUGACGUGGGACUCGAUCCCAGGACUCCAGGAUCACGCCCUGGGCCAAAGGCAGAGACACAGGCUCCAUGCACCGGGAGCCCAAUGUGGGAUUCGAUCCCGGGUCUCCAGGAUCGCGCCCUGGGCCAAAGGCAGGCGCCAAACCGCUGCGCCACCCAGGGAUCCCGAGCAUCUGCCUUUGAUUGAGGUUGUGAUCCCUGGGUCCUGAGAUCGAGUCCCCCACCGGGCUCCCCGUAGGGAGCCAGCUUCUCCCUCUGCCUCUGUCUCUGCCCCUCUCUCUGUGUCUCUCAUGAAUAAAUAAAUAAAAUUUAAAAAAAUAGUCUUUAAAAAAUAAAUAAGCCCAGAAUAAAAAGAAAAUCUAUGAUAAUUUGAUUUAUGGCCCAGAGAAUUAAACACUUGUUUGAUUAUGAAACAAAAGAAUAGUAACUGCAGAUACUGGCUGGUCCUCACAGGGUCAGAGACCAGGGUGAUUAAGUUUUAGCUCUUAAAAAUGAUGGAUCAUGAAGAUUAAUAGAUAACGUGUUCUACCUUUUCCAGAACAGGGUACAGGCCAGCUUGCUAAUUACUGGAUGGGCAAAGAAAUAGAUGGCACUCAGUUCUGGAAAACAUCAUCCCUCCAACCAUUCACUCAUUCUGAAAGUUUUUGUUGACUAAACAAGUGAAGGAAUGCCAAUUAGGUGGCAUAACCACAUUCUGCAGCCAUUUAGAACACAUCUCGAAGCAGCCUUUUCCAUAUGAGAGCACCUUUGCAGAAAGCCUAUCCAGCCAUUAGGAAAAACCAGGAAAGCUAGCAGCUGCUUAAAUUUGGGCAGGCUCUGAUGAUUUAUUCUGAUGCAAUAAGCAAUAGAAUCUAAAUGAGGUAUGGGAGGCAAAGAAAUAAGGAAAGUUUGGCAUCUCCGCCUAUCCGGAAGCCUCCUCUCAUCGUUAGUGUGAGAAAAGGAAAUGGUAUUUUUAUUUUCAUUAAAAUGCAACAAGCAUCAAAGUCAGAAAAUAGAUCAUUUUUCUCAUGGCUAGAAGCAUACGGAAGCAGAUGAGUGGCUGCAUUCUGCUGGGUGUUGCUGGGGGCUUUUCUAACACAGAUCUACGACUGCUGUGAGCUCAAAGUUGCAGGGAAGAGGAGACGAGGUUGAAGACUAGGUUGGUCACUUUCCA